CACUUCCACUGUUCUUCUUUCCUUAUAUCUCAACACUCAGAACUCUUUUGACAUUAGCCCAUGGGGACUUGUGGUUGUGAACCGUGUAUGGGAAGUCGCUGGGCCCCAGUCAAGGAGACAGACUUGAGUCUCUUUGCCCUAACUUUUACAUAUGGUCAACUUAAAAUAAAAAGUCCACUCUGGAAUCAAGAAUGGAAUUCGAUUCCACUGGUCAACUUGGAAAGUGUAGGGGCUCUCAAGGCUAUUUCCCUAGCCGAACCGUGUCCCAUUGAGAACCCUGUAAACCCUUUUGGAGAACCUGGUGUUCAUUCACAUCACUGGCAGUUUCCUGAAUAUUGAUAUGUGCAAGGGCAGGGGGCCAGUCAUUAUUGUGAGACAGAAUUACAUAAGGCUCGAUCCCAAAGAGCCUAACUUGCCUGCUUGGGUCCCCAGAUUUCAAGGACCUUUGACCAGGGAACAACAGAAAGUACUUAUAGGCCAUGGGUUUCCAGUUCUGUUUUCAAGUGGUUUGUUAAUGUUUUGGGUUUUUUGUUUUUUUGUUUUUUUUUUGUUUUUGUUUGGGGGGAGGGUGUCUUUUGUUUUUGUUUUGUGGCCCAGAGUGUGGUUAUAUAGAACAUACAUCUCCUGGUUGGAACAUGCAUGCAUGUAUGUGCAUGUGUGUGCCCACAAAGCUCUUCUGUAAAUGGAAGGGUACUACAUCAAGGCCAAGGUGAGCUUUUGGCUGGGGCAACUGCUGCAGUCUCUGUGUUCUUGUUUGAAGAUUUGUCCUUGGAGGAGCAUCUGGUUAGAGGGAGAUGUUCUCUGAGAAUGUAGUGUCCCAGAAGUGAACAAGGGCGAUUGGCAAGCUUACCUUUCUUUUCUACCAAUAAUCCUCUCACAAGAACCCCCAUCCUCAUUUCCUCAAACACUCAGGUGCUUUCAGAUUUCAGUCUCGGGCAGUGGACAUAGGGAAUUUAUGGCAAGCUCUGAGCAAGACAUACCACCUUCAAGGUGAGUGUCAGAUUCCAAGGAAAUUCUUUCCUGGUCUUGUGCCCUCCUACCUGAGGGGAGGAGAGAAUUCCUACCUGAAAAGAGAGGGCCCUCUCCACUUCCCUGCAAAUGACUGCUCUCUGUAAUAGAGACCACAUGCCUGGUAACUUAGCUCAGUGGCAAGCCAAAACCCUUCCCCAAGACUGGAGAGACGUGAUGUUUGGAGCAAUGUCCAAUCUAAGCAAUGACUCCUCAUAACUGCUGAUUAUCUGUUACUGCUGCCUGAGCUGGGGCCCAAGGGCUGGGAAUCUGUUGGUGCUACCUUGCCCUACCAUUUCCCCAGCUCACAAACUGCCAACAGGAAGUGCUGUUUGGCUAGUUGUACCACACUCACCUGCCCUUUGUUCUCAGAUCAUGUGUUUGUUUACCUGUCAGCUUUGCCAACUCAGCAUCUUUAGCAAACAGACAGCAUCUUUUGGCCUUUCUGACUCAGUUACAGCUUUUACACCCUCAACAGGAGUCUGUAUAUUCCCCAGUUUCCUUCUCCCUAAGUUCCUGUUGAGGUUAGCUUCCAUCUCUUCUUGAGGAAAGAACAGUGGUUAUAUUAGCAUUUGCGCUUUAUAUAAAAAUUGAAAGUAGGAUCUGCUUUUAUUUCCCAAAGCCUGUCUGUGGAAUUGAGACCCUUGAACUCAGGCAGAGGGAUGAGGCUGGGGCAGGGCUGCCCCAAGUUUGGGGGCCUAAUCCCUGCACUUCCCUGAAACCUCAGAAUCUCCCCUCUGAAUACACCUGCCUAGUUCUCUCCCCUUUCAUCCUCUCUUCCCACAUCGUCAGAGUGAAAAAAAGCUCUUUGUUUUAAAGGAAGAGAAAAAGCGUCUUAUUUUCUUUUUAAAAAAUUUUAAACCAUGAAGAAAAUAUUUUUAAAGAAAUUCACCCAGGACAUUAAAGUUCACUAUAUUACC
rnacentral:lncRNA from 1 species